GAGAAGGGUCACAAGGGUCACAAGGGACAGGUAGCCCCCUGCAGACAGACAGAGGAUCAGCUUCAGGGAGGCAGAUGUGUGUUCUGUGUAAGGGAAGGGCUUCUAAGCAUGCCCGAGGCUGCUGCCCCAUCCCCGAGGGUGUUUGAGCGGAAGGUCUGGAGGUGCUAAGAGAGCACCGUGGCCGGUGAAUCCGACUCUGCCUCAAAAGUGGGCAAUUCACAGGGCAGCCGGAGCUUAUCACAGAGACUCCUAGGCCUGGGGCGGGAGAUGCAGAGUCGGCAGGCUGGGGGACCUCACACUCUGGGCGGGGUGAUGAUGGGCAGCCAGCUUGGGAACCCCCAGAUUAGAGACCUUCAGUCUGAGAUGCGAGUGAGGGAUUCUGUGACAUACAAGCCCCCCUUCUCAGCCCCCGACUCCUCAGAAGCACCCUGGAAAGAGGCUCCUGUGUUCCCCCCUGCACCCUGUGCGACCCCCGGUUCUCACCCAGAAGGGUUCUCCUUUCAGGGGUCCCACCAUGGCCAUGAAAAGUGGCUGCUGGAGCAGGGCAAACACAGCACUGAUGAGGGACUGCAGGCCCGUCAGCGUCCCGAAGUGGUUGGACGGGAAACUGCCGAUGAGAGGGGGGCCGAUGAGGAAGGCGUGUGGUCCCCUCCAGCCCAGCACCCCCCACCCUGAUCCACACCCCCGGUGGCAGGUGCCACCACUCGCUGUGAGGCAGGCGGAGGGGAACAGAGGAGCCUCUGUGCAUUCGCUGUCUGGACUCUGGCCUCAACGAUGUGUGCGGUGACUUCAGGGCCACUGAAUUGCCUCCUGACACCUACUGUCUGCGUGAUAACAGCAGGACAAACAGGAACCAUUCGGAUUCACACAGAAAGAACACAAGCAGUCAGAAACCCCAGGUCCAAGACCCAACGGUGCUCUCCAGCCAACAAGACCCCUCGCUCUGGGGGAAGCCACCUGCCCUGUGGUGAGCAGCCCAAAGGAGAGACCCAGGUGGGGAGGAGGCGCAUCUUCUGCCAACAGCCAGGUGAUCUCAGGAACGGGUUCCCCCACUCCUGUCACCACCCCAGCUCCCUACUCCUUAGGCCACGUGAGGACACAGCGAGAAGUCUGCUGCCCAGAAGAGGGCCCUCUCACUCAACCACUGGCUCCCUGAUCUGAGACUUCCAGAUUCUAGAACUGUGAGAAAUAAAUCUCUAUUGUCUUUAAG